UUCUUUUGCUCUUUUUGUUUUUGCUAAUCUGCUUCUCUUUCUCUUCUGCGAAUCCUUCUGCCGUUAGUAGUUGUAUUGUAGCUUUCGGAAAUUAUCGGUACGCAGGGGCUGAGCUCUGAGCAAUUCGGAGCUUCAGAGUGAAGCCUCAAUUACUCGGUUUGGAACUUUGGAGAUGUCAUACGGGAUGCGCAUCCUCGGAACUCUUUCUUUAGAUUAACUCAAAGAUAGCUACCAAUGUUAACCAAAUGACUCAAGGAAUGUGUAGUGUAACAGCUUAUUCAAAUUUGUAAGAAAUUGAUUCAGUGUAGCAAGCUGUAACGAAAUUGAUUCAAAUCUUUAUUUUGAAGUCCAUGUAGCUCAAUGUAACAAGAUAAUUCAAAGAGUUUGUAAUGAAAAUUCAAUUUCGUAUUAUUUCCCAUGACUUGAACUUGUAAUAGAGAUUCAAAUAGGCAUUCCUUUUA